rnacentral:rRNA from 1 species
UAAGACAGGGGUCUCGAGCGUUAAUCGGAAUUACUGGGCUUAAAGGGUGCGUAGGCCGGCCCGCAAGUGCUUUGUGAAAUCCCAUGGCUCAACCAUGGAACAGCUCGGCAUACUGCGGGUCUUGAGGAAGGCAGGGGUCGCCAGAACUGUAGGUGGAGCGGUGAAAUGCGUAGAUAUCUACAGGAAUGCCGAUGGUGAAGACGGGCGACUGGGCCUUUCCUGACGCUGAGGCACGAAAGCGUGGGGAGCAAACAGGAUUAGAUACCCUGGUAGUCCACGCCGUAAACGAUGCGCGCUAGAUCGGGGCGGCUCUGACGCCGUCUCGGUCGAAGUAAAAACGCUAAGCGCGCCGCCUGGGGAGUACGGUCGCAAGGCUAAAACUCAAAUGAAUUGACGG